rnacentral:rRNA from 1 species
GACGAACGCUGGCGGCGUGCUUAACACAUGCAAGUCGAACGGAAAGGCCUCUUUCGGGGGGUACUCGAGUGGCGAACGGGUGAGUAACACGUGAGUAACCUGCCCUUGACUUUGGGAUAACUUCAGGAAACUGGGGCUAAUACCGGAUAGGAGCUCCUGCUGCAUGGUGGGGGUUGGAAAGUUUCGGCGGUUGGGGAUGGACUCGCGGCUUAUCAGCUUGUUGGUGGGGUAGUGGCUUACCAAGGCUUUGACGGGUAGCCGGCCUGAGAGGGUGACCGGCCACAUUGGGACUGAGAUACGGCCCAGACUCCGACGGGAGGCAGCAGUGGGGAAUAUUGCACAAUGGGUGGAAGCCGGAUGCAGCAACGCCGUGUGCGGGAUGACGGCCUUCGGGUUGGAAACCGCUUUCGCUCAUGACGAAGCUUUGUGUGACGGUAGUGGGUAAAGAAGCACCGGCUAACUACGUG